rnacentral:rRNA from 1 species
UACCAGCACCCCGAGUGGUCGGGACGAUUAUUGGGCCUAAAGCAUCCGUAGCCGGUUUUACAAGUCCUCCGUUAAAUCCAGCUGCUUAACAGAUGGGCUGCGGAGGAUACUAUAAGACUAGGAGGCAGGAGAGGCAAGCGGUACUCAGUGGGUAGGGGUAAAAUCCGUUGAUCCAUUGAAGACCACCAGUGGCGAAGGCGGCUUGCCAGAACGCGCUCGACGGUGAGGGAUGAAAGCUGGGGGAGCAAACGGG